UAGAUGUAUUAUGACAAAUAACUCAGCAG
rnacentral:piRNA from 1 species